UUGGAACAAUGACAUUGAUGA
rnacentral:siRNA from 1 species